UGGGAUCUCGCAUGAUCCGUGGGGAAACGGCUGGAUCCGGAUGAAGGGCGCAGCGGGAUCGAUGGGAGGAAGCUGGGACGGAUGCCACGGCUGUGAAGGAAGGUGGGCUGCUGAGAUCUUCCUUGCUGGGAGGCGAAUCGUCCGGGAUUGCACGCGGAAGAGGAAGGAUGUUGGGGCUUCUUUCACGGACGCGAGAUUGCUGGGAGCUGAGAUUUGCUGAUGGGCGUUGCUGGCAUGUGGUGGAGACGCGGUGAAGACGUGGUGCAGACGCGGUGCGGGAUCCGUGGAGGCGUGAUCGUCGGUAGGAGCCAUUCAUGGGAACGUUGGAGGCCGCCGCGGGAUUGACGUGAUGCGGAGGAGGUGGAGUCUCCUGUGAUCGCACGGACCGCGGAAUGAAGCUGGCACGGUGGCUGGCUUGGAGGAGCUGAUCUGCCGUGGAUCCGGGAAGAGUUAG
rnacentral:lncRNA from 1 species